rnacentral:misc_RNA from 1 species
AACUUUUAACAAUGGAUCUCUUGGCUCUGGCAUCGGUGAAGAACGCAGCGAGAUGCGAUAAGUAAUGCGAAUUGCAGAAUUUUAGUGAGUCAUCGAAUCUUUGAACGCACAUUGCGCCCUUGGCAUUCCGAGGGGCAUGCCUGUUCGAGCGUCAUUAACAACCAUCAAGCCUGGCUUGCCGUUGAGCCCCGCCCGUGACAGGGCGGGCUCGAAAGACAGCGACGGCGUCGGUCGGACCCUAGAUGCAACGAGCUCUGAGUAGCACGCAUCGACCUGGCCGGCCGCGCCCGUCCCACCCCUUUUUAUCUCAGGUUGACCUCGGAUCAGGUAGGAAUACCCGCUGAACUUAAGCAUAUCAAUAAGCGGAGGCU